CGAGCGCAGCCCCCGCGCCCCGCUCGCUGCCCCGAUGAUGGACAGGAACUACCCGCCGACUGCCAGCUUCGCCGACCCGCUGGCUCCAGCCGCCGCCGCGCAGCCAGCCGCCGCCUGGGCCUACGAGCGAGGCGCGGGCAGCCUCAAGCCCAGCUUAAGCUAUGGAGGAGGACAUCCAUCACACUCGGAAACGGAUCUUCUUCACAGACAGACAUAUGCAGCUUCUCAUCAGCUUCCAGGAUAUGCUACCACCCACCAUCCUACUGGUCUUUCUGGAAUAUUUGAUACUAGUAUGCACAGUGCUGGAAGUAACACUAAAGAAACUUCAGUUAUGAACUUUCUCUCUGCAAUUGAGUCUCGCACUGCUCAGGCUGCUGCUUCAGGAGCUACACUUUUACCACAAUUCAGGGCUCCAUCAUGGCAGACAGGUGUGCAUUCCUCAGCAGCAACAGAACUAUUUGUUACUGGAGCAUUGCCAACCUCUGGAACAUUUCCACCAACAUCUGCAUUAUCAGCUUAUCAGCAUCCCAAUUCUUUCAGCAGUAGAAACUUUGCUACUACUCCAUCUCUCACACUUCAAGAUGCAACAUUCAGUGCUACAUCAAAUGGUCUUUUAACUGCUCAUGACCCUUUACUGCAAAUCAAGACUUCACAAGGCACAGUUCCAACUGCUUUGACAUUUGAGCGCUUAGGCAGCUCUGUUUUAAGUACCAGCAUACCACCUCAGUCAUCAACAUACCGUUCUGCUCAAGAGUCCGCACCCCAUCUCUUGCAACCUCAGUUUAGUUUGUUGCCUUCAACACUUGGAGGAGCUCAGCAGGCUUCUCAGGCAUAUAGCACAUCUGUCUUUUCUGGUUCUACUGCCUCCAUUGAUAGAGCACUUCAGCGAGAAUGUAGUGUUAUUAAACACCAUCAGCGGCCUUCAAGUACACAGUCUGUUCAGGCACAACUGACUGGUUCACAGCAUUCCUUACACAGUUAUUUAUCAAGUACAAGUGGAGUUAAUUUUCAGGAUACAUCCAGGCAGUCAGCACUGCCCUGCAGUCCAGUUGGAGAUGCUACUCAGGUGAGCAAUGGAGGAUCACAACAGAAGACCUCUCAAGUCUCAGUGGAACUUGCUCAGUCUUAUACAUCUGCAAUUCCAUCACCUGGUUUCCCAUCUACUUCUACAGCAAAAGCAAAAAACGGUUCUACAAAGCAGCUAUCAAGGUCAACAAAGACACCCAAACCUCAAAAUGUAGUCUCUCCUGUGCAGACACAAAGCUAUUCCAAAUCUGCACAAAACCAGAGUUCAGUAAUAGCAGGCCAAGCACAAAUCUAUUCUACAGCACAGCUACCAAGUCUGUUGUCAGUCAGCCAAUCCCAAAACUAUGUUUCCACACAGUCACAGAAUAUGCCAUCUGUCAGUCAUUCACAAGUUUUCUCAUCUAGCAAGGUUGAGAAGCUGCCCUCAUUAUAUAAAACACUGACUUUUUCUGGGCAGUCGCAAACUAUAACUUCUGAUAGUCAGACAACACUAAGUUACUCUGCAGAUCAACAGGUAUUAACUUCAGUUCCAAAUGAGAACUACUCUGGUCAAACAAGGGAUCUUUCUUCAGUUAGCCAAUCUCAGAGUUAUUCUUCUAAUCACUCUCAGGGUUUAUCUCCCGUUAACCAAUCACAGGUUAGUUAUUCAUCUCAAUCACAGGUUUUGUCAGCUGUUAGUCCUUCAGAAAGUUAUACGUCAGGGCAAUCUUUAACAUUAACUUCACCUUCUCUUCCAUUUUCUUCGUCCCCUCGUAUUCAAAAUUUGUCAGCCUCAAGCCCAAACCAGAACUAUAUUUCUUUACGUUCUUCUCAGAAUUCUCAGACACAAGAAUCAUCUUCUCCACAGUCUCAAAAGUUUUUGACAGCUGUUCAGUCUCCUACUUUUGCAUCCCCAGCUCAUUCACAGACACUGCAGAACAAUAGAUCUUCCUCAGAUAGAAAAACAUAUGUUAAAAGGAAAUCUGACUCUAACUUGUAUGCUUCAUCAAAACAGGAAGAUGAAUUGUCAAUGCAAGAUUUACAGGCAUUACAACAGCAAGCUUCUCUUGAAUCCUCUACCCAAAGGCUAACUGAUAGUGAAAUUAAUGCUCAGGAUGCUGCCUAUAGGGUCUCAAAGGCAGAUGACAGAUAUUCUCAAAGUGUAAUCAGAAGUAAUUCUCGUCUUGAAGAUCAAGUCAUUGGGCUUACUCUUCAAGGGUCGAAAAAAGAUGAGAGGAUGGUUGGUUCUGUGGCACAGCUUACUCAGCAGAUUGGCCAUAUCACUAAUGUAAUAAGCCAUGAUAUUAAAAAGGCAGCUAAUUUAAUGCAGACAACACAAGUAAGUGUAAAUGCUAAAGAACUAAACCAGCAGCAUUCUCUUAUGCAUAAGGUACAUGAAACUAAGGCCCAAGAACAGCAGGGCCAAGUCAUUAGUACAUCAUCACAGAUUCAAGCUCAUGCCUUGAGGCAUUGCAAUCAACUAUGUUUGCCUAAUGCACAGGUACUUCUGGAAUCUGCCUGUGACUUACAAAUUCUUCAGCAAUCAAUACUGCAGUCAGGCUUAGGACAAGCAAAGGCAUCUCCACAUGUGCGACGAAUACAGAGUCCUCAGCAGGUAGCACAUCAGUUCCUUCAAAUGGAUAGUCACAUUAUUCAAAGUAAUGGGGGUCAUUCUCAGCAACAGCUUCAUCCUCAAAAUGCAGAAGUUAUUAAAAUGGACAUUUCUGAGUCCUCAAAACCACUACAGCAACAUAUGACAUCAAAAGACCAUUUUACUCAACCAAAUCAACAUGAAUCAAAGAAUCAGUUUGUUUCUCUUGGUUCGAUAUGUUUUCCAGAGUCUAUGCUUCUCAGUGAUGAGAGGAAUAUAUUGUCUAAUGUGGAUGACAUCUUAGCAGCAACAGCAGCAGUGUGUGGGGUCACACCAUCAGAAUUUGCCAAAUCCACAUCUCAUGAAGAAGAAAUUCAAUCUGUUGAAAAUGGUGAUGAUUCCAAAUCUCAGUUCCAGUCAAUAGGUGUAUGUCACAUAUCUCCUAGUUUCAGCUCCUCACCCACUGUAGUUGGAAAACCACACAGCAUAAAUAAUAUUUCUCUAAAUGGAAGCCAAGUUACUGUAAACCUUACAACAGUGUCUACAAUACAAUCAAAACAUGUGAUCCUUGAUCAACAUAUGGAAACUUCUGACCAAAACAUGUCAGCUAGAAUGACUUCUCCAGCCCUCGGACCUAGUCAGGAGGAGCAAGAACAAGGUUCUGGCAAAGUUAAGAAACAGUCUAGCAUUAGUCAUGAAUCUGAAGAAGACAAUGAUGUUCCCAUUGAUGGUACACUGAAUGCUAGAGACUCAGAAUUUGUUUCAAGUGGUCGGAGUCUAAGUGAAGAGAGCGUUACAUCAGAUAAUGAUUUUAAUAUGGGUUGUGAUGAUGGCAUUGUAGUAGGUAACAAGAUUAAAGGUCCAUUGCAACCAAUAUCUGUGCUACAACCAGGAGAUGGAAGUGGUAGCAAAACUGAAGAAGAGAACCAAGAUUUAUGUCAAGGGAACUUUCAAAAGAAAAAAAGUAAAGGAAAAAGCCAAAUAAAAAAUUCUACAGAAGAUGACAGUGCAAGCCAGAAACAACUGAAACGAAGUGGACAAUGCAAACGUCAGAAUGUAAGAGGAACUGACAUAUGUUUACCGUAUUCUUCUCCUGUUUCUGAAAGUUAUGAUAUUUAUCAACACCAAGAAAGAAUGAGGCAAAAAAUUAAAGAAGUGGAAGAAAAGCAACCAGAAGUCAAAACAGGAUUCCUUGCAUCUUUUUUAGACUUUUUAAAAUCUGGGCCCAGGCAACAGUUUUCAGCACCUGCUGUACGAAUGCCUAACAGGACUAGGCGGACAGUUACCCAGAUAGUCCGUGCCCCAGGUCCCCAGCCACCUUCAAAGCCACAGCCAGCAGCAGCUCCUUUGUCUGUUGAGGGUGGCUGUGAAAGUCCAACCAAAAAAGUUGAUGAUGAACUUAAGAAAAAUUUGGAAACAUUGCCUUCAUUUUCUUCUGAUGAAGAUGAUUCUGUAGGGGGUAACCACGAUCUUCAGAAGAGCAUUUCUACCGCAUUAUCAGCUUUGGAUGAUACUGCUGACAAAAAAAACAAAUCAGAAACUGAAAAAAUGGCAGUUGCUACUACUGCCAACACCACUGCUCUUGUAAAGCAGGAAUCUCCAAACACUACUGCUCCUGUGGUAAAUGUUCAGGAGAAAACAAGUUCAGCAGAACUCGUAAAGAUAGCUGACCAGGAUGGUGUGACUUCAGACCAGUUAGCAAAAAUACAGGCAGCUGUUGCAAUAGAAGGAUGUACUGAUGAGGAGAAUACGGACAGUGGAGGAGAGGGCAUGUACAGAGAACGUGAUGAAUUUGUAGUGAAGAUUGAAGAUAUAGAUAUGCUAAAGAUGGCUUUACAAAUGGGAAAAGAGCCUCCAGCAAUCUGGAAAGUACAAAAGGCUUUGUUACAAAAGUUCGUUCCUGAAGUUCGAGAUGGACAGAGAGAGUUUGCUGCUACUAAUAGUUAUCUUGGGUAUUUUGGGGAUGCAAAAAUGAAAUACAAACGGGUGUAUGUGAAGUUCAUUGAAAAUGCAAACAAAAAGGAGUAUGUCAGAGUCUGUUCAAAAAAACCACGAAGUAAACCUGUACAAUCUGCAAGGCCCAUUCAUUACAAACCAAGUAACAGCACCAGCAAAGGUCCUGAUCCUCCAGCACCAAAAACUACAACAACAAAAGUCUCUUCUGUGAAACCCAAAGCUAAACAGCCAAAGAUAAAGGCUGAACCACCACCAAAGAAACGGAAAAAAUGGAAAGAAGAGUUUUCAUCUUCCCAAUCUGAGUCUUCUCCUGAAGCCCAGAGUGAUGAGGAUGAACUUGUCCCUCCAUCUCCUUUUUUCACCCGCUUUUUGAACACAAGAGCUAUGAAGGAGACCUUUAAGAGUUAUAUGGAGCUGCUUGUUAGCAUUGCCUUAGAUCCAGAUACAAUGCAAGCCUUGGAAAAGAGCAAUGAUGAGCUUCUUUUGCCUCAUAUGAGAAAAAUUGAUGGCAUGCUGAAUGACAACAGGAAAAGACUGCUUUCCAAAUUACGUUUGGAGCAUACGUUCAAGGACUUUGGGACAAGAGGGUUAAUUACCUCCCCAUCUCAUCACUACUGAAAAGCUGUUCCCUGCAGAAGCAGUAGUUCCUGCUCCUAUCUUCCCAGUAGCCCUCUGUGGCUCCCUCAUUGCAACAGCAAAGUUCCUGGAGGGUGUCUAAAUCUCUCUGAUACUUCUCAUAAUAAAUACAAAUGGUCUGUUUAACUGACCCUGAGCCUCCAUUUUUAUUUUAUUGUUGUUGUUUUUACAGUGAGAGUUAGGGACAUAAUGCCAAUUUGAUUCCCACUGUGCUAAUACUUCUGUAGCUAAUCAUUACACCCAGUUAGAAGAAAAGCAUCUUUAGCAUGCACAAGAUUGUCACAGUUAUAUAAUAUUAUAUCCACUUACUCCCUAUAUUGUGUUACAAAUUCCAGCUGUAUAAAGAAGCUUUUGCUUUCUGUUCACUCAAUAAAAGAAAAUAAAUUAUGUCUCUUAAAUCAGAUAAUGUAGGCCCAAUCCUACAGCUUGAUCUGUAUGGAAGGAUCUGCCCACAUGGAUCAGAUUCCAGGAUCAGGGCAUAUGUUUGUAAAAUGGCUCAUUUUGUUAGUAUGUCUAUAUUUCUAGUACAGAAGUACAAGCCCGUAUCAUGUCUGUGUUAGCAAUUUUGUAGUAAUGAAAAGCUAAUUUCCUACAUGAACAUCUCUAUUGGUUUGAUACCAAAUAGGUUACAUACUUUUAAAAUCCAGUUUAAUCCAUUAUUUAGAACAAGAAAGCCUGUUUUUAUAAUAAUGUUAAUAAAAAUGAGUAGUUUAGGUAUUAGAGAUUCAGACUAGGCAACCAACAAGUAAAAGAUGGAAAUGGAUUGGUUACUCAGGAGCACCAUUCAUUUCUGCAUACUUUUUAAUACUCUGUACUGAUAACCGUGUAUAGUAAUUAUAUAUUAAUUAAAAUGGAAAUGGACAAUAUGGGAUAUUUGAGUUUAGAAUUGCAAACAAAAUCAUACAGUAAAAUCACCAAUCAAUAAUCAAAUCAGCAGCUUUGUGUAUACACUUUUCUUCACAGUUCUAACAGCUAUAAAAUCCCACUCUGUCCGGUUAUAAUCUUAUUUCAGUAAACAAAAUUAAACUAUUCUUUCUGUGUUAGUUUCAUCUCUGUAAAUUAACUCUCAGUCUUUUAGAUACAACUCAACAAUGUACGUGUUUGGUAAUUUAUUAGACUUAUUACAAAUGUUGUUCAGAAUAGCAUUGUUAGUUAACAUCAAUUGUGCUUCAUUUCUUGGAAGUUUCAUUUUCUAUAAAGUACUUACCAUUCAAAGUCAUCUGGCUCUUUCCACUAAGCAAGUCUGAUUUAUAGCUUGUUCUCUUGACCCACCAGAACAUGGAAAUGACUAGUGUUUUCCUCCUCCUCCUUCCAGUUCAAAACUAGUCCUGUUUUGGGUCAGUGCUCCUGUCUGAAGUCUGUUCUACUCCAUAUUAAUAGACAAUAGCAUUGAGCCAGUGACAGAUGAGGCAGAACUUCCUGGCAUAAGACUGAAAUUCAGAGAAUGCAGUGAAACUCUACAGAGAAUUCUAUAACAGAGUGCUUUGGAAAACUUUCCUGAACUGACAGUAAUCACUCGCGAUUCUAAAACAAAAAGUGGAGGAGCUGCUCU